GGCCCAGUAGUUCAGUUGGUUAGAAUGCCAGCCUGUCACGCUGGAGGUCGACGGUUCGAGCCCGUUCUGGGUCGCCA
rnacentral:tRNA from 6 species